rnacentral:rRNA from 1 species
AGUGAACGCUGGCGGUAGGCCUAACACAUGCAAGUCGAACGGCAGCACAGUAAGGGCUUGCUCUUACGGGUGGCGAGUGGCGGACGGGUGAGGAAUACAUCGGAAUCUACUUUUUCGUGGGGGAUAACGUAGGGAAACUUACGCUAAUACCGCAUACGACCUACGGGUGAAAGCAGGGGAUCUUCGGACCUUGCGCGAUUGAAUGAGCCGAUGUCGGAUUAGCUAGUUGGCGGGGUAAAGGCCCACCAAGGCGACGAUCCGUAGCUGGUCUGAGAGGAUGAUCAGCCACACUGGAACUGAGACACGGUCCAGACUCCUACGGGAGGCAGCAGUGGGGAAUAUUGGACAAUGGGCGCAAGCCUGAUCCAGCCAUACCGCGUGGGUGAAGAAGGCCUUCGGGUUGUAAAGCCCUUUUGUUGGGAAAGAAAAGCAGCAGGUUAAUACCCCGCUGUUCUGACGGGACCCAAAGAAUAAGCACCGGCGAACUUCGU